rnacentral:rRNA from 1 species
CCAGCAGCCGCGGUAAUACGUAGGUGGCAAGCGUUGUCCGGAAUUACUGGGCGUAAAGGAUGCGUAGGCGGAUAUUUAAGUGGGAUGUGAAAUCCUGGGGCUCAACCCCAGAACUGCAUUCCAAACUGGAUAUCUAGAGUGCAGGAGAGGAAAGUGGAAUUCCCAGUGUAGCGGUGAAAUGCGUAGAGAUUGGGAGGAACACCAGUGGCGAAGGCGACUUUCUGGACUGUAACUGACGCUGAGGCAUGAAAGUGUGGGGAGCAAACAGGAUUAGAUACCCUGGUAGUCCACACCGUAAACUAUGGGUACUAGGUGUAGGGGGCGAAGCCCUCUGUGCCGCAGUUAACACAUUAAGUACCCCGCCUGGGGAGUACGAUCGCAAGAUUAAAACUCAAAGGAAUUGACGGGGGCCCGCACAAGCC